rnacentral:rRNA from 1 species
CCUACGGGUGGCAGCAGUCGGGAAUAUUGCACAAUGGACGCAAGCCUGAACCAGCGACGCCGCGUGGAGGAAGACGGCUCUCUGAGUUGUAAACUCCUUUUUUACGAGGGUAAACGCAAAUGCUAGUAUCUGUCUGAAAGUAUCGUACGAAUACAGAUCGCCUAGCUCCGUUCCAACCGCGGCGGUAAGACGGAGGGUUCAAGCGUUACCAGGAUUUGUUGGGUUUAACGGGUGCGGAGGCGGUCGGAUAAGUUAGAGGUGAAAUCACGAGGCUCAACGUAGGAAUUGACGCUGAUACUGAGAGGCUAGAGAGUAGGUGCGGGAGGCGGAAUGUAAGGUGUAGCGGUGAAAUGCGUAGAGAUCAUACAGAACACCGGUUGCGAAGGCAGCUUACCAGGCUACAUCUGACGUUGAGGCACGAAAGCGUGGGGAGCAAACAGGAUUAGAUACCCUAGUAGUC